rnacentral:rRNA from 1 species
CCUACGGGAGGCAGCAGUGAGGAAUAUUGGUCAAUGGACGAGAGUCUGAACCAGCCAAGUAGCGUGAAGGAUGACUGCCCUAUGGGUUGUAAACUUCUUUUGUCAGGGAGCAAUUGGGUCCACGCGUGGGCUUAGCGAGAGUACCUGAAGAAACAGCAUCGGCUAACUCCGUGCCAGCAGCCGCGGUAAUACGGAGGAUGCGAGCGUUAUCCGGAUUUAUUGGGUUUAAAGGGUGCGUAGGCGGAAUAUCAAGUCAGCGGUAAAAAUUCGGGGGGAAACCCCGUCGUGCCGUUGAAACUGAUGUUCUUGAGUGGGCGAGAAGUAUGCGGAAUGCGUGGUGGAGCGGUGAAAUGCAUAGAUAUCACGCAGAACUCCGAUUGCGAAGGCAGCAGACCGGCACCCAACUGACGCUGAAGCACGAAAGCGUGGGUAUCGAACAGGAUUAGAUACCCGUGUAGUC